CGGCAGGCUACCAUGCAGUCGAGCGAGAACUUCGGUUCUAGCGGCGGACGGGUUAGUAACGCGUGGGAACGUGCCCUUCACUACGGAAUAGUCCCGGGAAACUGGGUUUAAUACCGUAUACGCCCUUCGGGGGAAAGAAUUUCGGUGAAGGAUCGGCCCGCGUUAGAUUAGAUAGUUGGUGGGGUAACGGCCUACCAAGUCUACGAUCUAUAGCUGGUUUUAGAGGAUGAUCAGCAACACUGGGACUGAGACACGGCCCAGACUCCUACGGGAGGCAGCAGUGGGGAAUCUUAGACAAUGGGCGCAAGCCUGAUCUAGCCAUGCCGCGUGAGUGAUGAAGGCCUUAGGGUCGUAAAGCUCUUUCGCCAGGGAUGAUAAUGACAGUACCUGGUAAAGAAACCCCGGCUAACUCCGUGCCAGCAGCCGCGGUAAUACGGAGGGGGUUAGCGUUGUUCGGAAUUACUGGGCGUAAAGCGCGCGUAGGCGGAUUGGAAAGUUGGGGGUGAAAUCCCAGGGCUCAACCCUGGAACUGCCUCCAAAACUAUCAGUCUAGAGUUCGAGAGAGGUGAGUGGAACUCCGAGUGUAGAGGUGAAAUUCGUAGAUAUUCGGAAGAACACCAGUGGCGAAGGCGGCUCACUGGCUCGAUACUGACGCUGAGGUGCGAAAGUGUGGGGAGCAAACAGGAUUAGAUACCCUGGUAGUCCACACC
rnacentral:rRNA from 1 species